rnacentral:rRNA from 1 species
CCAGACUCCUACGGGAGGCAGCAGUGGGGAAUAUUGCACAAUGGGGGAAACCCUGAUGCAGCAACGCCGCGUGAGUGAAGAAGUAUUUCGGUAUGUAAAGCUCUAUCAGCAGGGAAGAAGAAAGACGGUACCUGACUAAGAAGCCCCGGCUAACUACGUGCCAGCAGCCGCGGUAAUACGUAGGGGGCAAGCGUUAUCCGGAUUUACUGGGUGUAAAGGGAGCGUAGACGGCAUAGCAAGUCUGAAGUGAAAGCCCGUGGCUCAACCGCGGAACUGCUUUGGAAACUGUUAAGCUGGAGUACUGGAGAGGCAAGCGGAAUUCCUAGUGUAGCGGUGAAAUGCGUAGAUAUUAGGAGGAACACCAGUGGCGAAGGCGGC